rnacentral:lncRNA from 1 species
CUUACUCUUUCAGCUAAGCUAUGGCUAUCGGUAGCUUGGCCACGACGAGCUCGGACAUGAACAUAUGGGAGCUUCUCCGCGCCUUCUUCUGAGGUAUCGUUAGCUGAUUUUUUCCCCUUUUUUGUAGUUUCUUUUACCUGAAUUCAGCAGAAAUUAUUCAUCAAACUAAAAUUUGACUGCUCUUUCUAAAAAUCGAAUUUAGAAAUGAAUAGUAAGAGUCACUAUUCUCCUUGUAUCAAAUUGGUGAAAGAUGUUACAACCUAAGUUGGGAUGGACUCUUCACUUUGAUGUUGCACCUGUGACAGAUUCUCCAAAAAUAUACUAUCUUGGGAGAAACAAACACCCAAACGCUAACAUUUUUUAAGAGUCCAAACAAAGUACAAUUUACAACAAACAAUAUGCCACAUACCCAGUAUAAUCCCACAACUAGUGUCGGAGAUAAUAGAAUGUACACAAAACUUACCCCUACCCCUACCUGAGAAGCGGAUAGGCUAAUUCCGACAGACCCCCGGCUUAAGGAAAAGCAUAUCAAAAGGUUGUUUCCGAUAGACUCUCAGCUCAACGAAAAGCAUAUCGAAAGGAUGUUUCAAUAGACACUGAGCUCAACGAAAAGCAUAUCAAAAUACUAUUUCUGAUAGACUUUCAGCUCAACGAAAAGCAUAUCAAAGCAAAUCCAACAACGAAUUAAACUACGAGGUAGAUGGGGUUGAUUAAAAUUACCUUUUUCUCCCUUUCCUUUCUCUUCAUUGAUUUCCGAUCACCCAUCGGAACAGAACUCGCCGGAGAUGAAUUCUGAUUAAACUCAGAAUCCAUAGGUUCUUGCUUAACUAACAACGCUUUCGACCCCGAAUUCGAAAGCGUUGAAUUCGACUCCGGUGAAUUCCCAACACCAUUUCCACCACCACCAGCAGUAGUAGCAAAGACGGAGAACUUCGAUGCUCUAUCAAUCAAAGCAAUAUCCGAUGGAAAAAUCGGAAUUGGAGUCGGAGUGGGACCCAAAGCCGGAGGAGGAUAGUGAUAGUAAGGUACAUUGAUUUUAUCUGAUUCAAUUUUGUUAUCAGUUUCCGGGGUCUGAACUAAUAGCUCUACAGCUUGAUUAGCUGGAAGUCCAAGUAAAGCAGUGAAUGAACUUCCGGGUUCUGAUGUAAUGGGCAAGAUCUCCUCAUCGAAGCUGUUGAAAUCAGUUGGUAUUUCUCCCAUUUUAGCUCCGGAAUUAUCGGAUCUAGAUUUGAUCUUGCUCGCUAACUUUGAUAGCAACAAUAUGUAGUCAAAUUCUGAUAACAAUUUACACUUUAUUGCUACAAAAAAUUGAAGAGAAAAUGGAAAAAGGGGUUAUAGGAACUGAGCUAAACAGAGGUAAAAUGAAGCUUUCUAUUUACUUUUUCUUCUUCUUCUUCUUCUCUAUAGUUUGGUAGCAAUUUUGCGAAGUUUUUUGAGUGCAAUUUUGCAGUAACCACACAAAAUUUGAGUCAAUGAGCUUCAGAACACCAACAAACAAAGAAAAAAAUGAUGGAAAAGAGUGAAAAAGCUGAGCCAAAUAGAGGUAAUUGAAGAUUUCUUGAGUGAAAAUGAAGCUUUACACACUUUUCCUUCUUCUCUCUUUCUUUUAUGUUGCAAUUUUGAGAGCUUCAGGAGCUUCAAUGGCUUCAAGUUUUACACAAACCCCACAAAUUCAACACAAUGAGCUUCCCAACACUAAGAAAAAAUGGAAAAAGGGAGCUAAAAAUACUCAGCUAAACACAAGUAGGUUGAAAUUUAUGAGUGAAAAUGAAGCUUUCUAUAUACUCUUUCUUCUCUCAUCUCUUUUCAAUUCUUCAGAGAUUUUUUUUUCCUUUUUUUUUUUUCUAUGUGGAGCUUAUUUAUUACCACCUUCAAUGGCAGUCAAUAAUAUAUUUUUUUUUUUUGCCUGCAAAUUUCUCUGUACGGUCUUUGUUUUGUUUGUUAUCUUUGACUCUAUAAAAAGAUUUGCCACUUUUUGUGCUCUGCCUUUAAAAAGUAGUAAUUGUAAGUUGCUUUGAUUUUUGUGCACUUACCAAAAUCUUAAGGUACCAAAUUUAAAAUUUUUAUAAUAUAUUAACUCUAGGUGAUAUAUAUAUAUAUAUUUCACGUACCACAACAAUAAUAAGAGGUACGUUGGUAGAUUGUUUAAAUAAAAUAAUAGUAAUCGAUUUGCGUAUUAUUAAUAUUUUAUUAUAAAAAUGUUUUGUUUUUAUUUUAAAUUAUCACAAAAUUAUUGAGACACACUUAAACUUGAGAGGGUUCUAUUAUUUUUGGACUAAUUAAAAUUAUAUUUUUGACAAUCUUAAUGUCUAUAUGGCACAUACAUGAUACAUACGUGUGCUUAUGUGGUACUAUUAACUGUCACUUAAAUAUGAGAUAAAAGAAAUUAUUUCUGGUAGAUUCUCAACUUAAGAUAAAAUAAAAUUAUAAAAAUGAUAUUUCUUUGUAAAAAUUAACCUAUCGGAGUCAAUUGAUAGUUGAUUAGAGUUAUAUGAAUAUCAUUCGUGAAGUAUGAAUUCUAUGAAUCUUUUAUAAAAUUUAAAGUUACAUAAAAGUUUUGAAUAUUUUAGGCCGAAGUUUUAUUUGUCAAAGCUAUAAUACCAUAGUUAUUUUAUGUUUUAGCUAAAAAUAUUUUUGUAGAUAUGUUACUUUUACCUCAAAAAGUAUUAAAAAAAAAAUUAUUAUAAGAAACACUUUAUAAUUGAUUAUUCGAACUUGAUUAUACGAAUAAAAUUUCAAGUUAACAAAUAAUUCAAAUUUUAAAAAGCAGCUCAAUUUGACAACUGAAUAAAUUGUAUUGACAUAAUAAAUCCAUUAUUUUUAUUCAUUAUUUUAGAGGUGCAAUUAAUUCCAAUAAUAUUAGUCAAAAUUAAAAUGAGGGGUUGAAGUAGAGAUACGUUUUUUUUGUUAAAAAGAAAAUAUACAUAAAUAAUUUUGAGAUAAAAUACAGAAUUAUUUAAUUAUAUAUUUGAUUAAAAAUAUUAUUUUCUUCGUUUCAAAAAGAAUCUUUUCUUUUUAGUCCGUUUAAAAAAGAAAGACACUUUUUCUUUUUUGACAAUACUUUAAUUUCAACUUUUCACGUGGCAUAUUUAAGACCACAAAAUUAAAGAAUAUUUUGGUCUAUUUGAUACAACUUUAAUUGAAGGCUAUAAGAUUUAAAAACUUCUUUAUUUUUUUUAAAAUUUUAUGUUAAAUCGAAGUAAGUUAUUCUUUAACAUAAUGAUAAAUAAGUUACUCUCUCUCUGUAUAUAUAAUGAGAUAAAAUCUUUUUGAAAUAAUUUAUUCCCAACCAAAUGAGUAGACAAAAAGGCAUAGUAAAUGGGAUGGGUUUUAUUGUGGGCUCACCAGAUUCUUACCCAACCUGACACUCUUUUAAUUACAGUGGAUGGCCUGUCUUUUUCUUUACAUUUAUGUCAUUUUAUGUUUUCUUGGGUCGGAAAAUUUUAUCUGAAAUAAAUUUUUUUAUUUUCAUAAAUCAGUUUGCAAAAUUAUAUUUGAUAUAUUGUUGUUGUUAUUAUUAUAAGCAAAAUAAUUAUAAGAGUUUGUUAAAUUUUGAGUGAGAUGCUCGAUUAUUGUAUCUGUUGUGUAAAGUAUCUUUGAGUUGUUCUUUAUUCGAAAUGAGCUACUUGAUCUCUUAUAAGUAGUGACACAAAUGUCGAUUAUAUGUCAAAUAUUUUUCUUUUGAGCCGAGAAUAUUUUGAAAAUACAUCCUACUUUCUUUAUACUUCACUUGUGAGAGAUUAUGUUGAGUACGUUGUUGUUGAUACUCUAAGCGGUGAAUUGAUUUCUCAGAUAGCCGCUCAACUAAUAAAAUAAUUAUUUUCUCAAGAAGUUAUUUAUUCGACUCAACCAAAAAAAGCAUAUUGAGAGAAGUAGUUAAGAAGAAGUGUAAUGACUGAGAGUUAUUAAAACUAACAUAUUAAAAAAACAAAAUUAACACAUGAGCAACUAAUAUAUUAUUAAGUAAAAGUGAAUACAACGGUUGUGAAUCGAAUACAACAGCUAAAUGGUAUUCUAUUUAUAUUUAAUAUGAAUACAGAUUAUUGAUAAAAUCGAAUACAGCGGACGUAAAUUGAAUACAGCGGCUAUAAAUGGUAAUUAUAUAAAAUAUGACUAUGAAAAAUGAAUUUUCCAGCAAAAUAUAACUAUUUUUAAGAGAUCCUCUUAAAAAAACAACGAACCUAAAUAACACACGAGCAAUUAAUAUAUUAUAAAGUUUCUUCCUUUUGAUCCAAUUUGUAACCUUAAUUAGCAUAUUCAUUUCAUUAUUUUUCUGAUCAAGCUAGAUAUUAUUAAAAAAAAUAUAUAUCGAAUACACCACCCAUGCCAAAUUAAUAAAAAGAAAUUAUUCUAUUCAAAUUUUAACAAGUAACAUGUGUAACAAGUUAUCCAAGUAUUGUCAUAUGUAUACUCAACUUUUGCUGCAAAAUAGUUAUUAAAGUUAUUAUGAUACCUUCUUAUAGCAUAUGAAUUAAUUAGCAAUUGGACCAAAAUGACAAAAAAAAAAAAAAAAAAAAAAAAAAAAAGGAAUAAAGCUUUUGGACAUUUGGGAAAUAUUCAACACGCAAGCUUAAAUAGAAGGGGGGAUUUUGUCAGAUCAGAAAAGUAAAGGGUUGUCCAGGCAAAUUUGGCAAAAAAAUUCAACUCUUAAGUCUUAGCUUGAAACUAAAUUAUAAUUAUGCCCAUUAAUUUUAUGAGUGCACGAGUAGACCCUUUAAUGCUAUAAAAAUUGAACAAUAAAUCACUUCAAUUUUGUCAUUUACAUGCAUGAAACUCAAUCGAUCCUACGUGAAUUAGUAAACCACUCAGAUGCUGCCACCUAAUAAAAAACACACAUUAUAACUAUGACAUUUAACUUUGGUAGUGCACAAGUAGGCGCUUUAAUUAUACAAAAGCUGAACAAAAAAAACACUUCAAUUCUAACUCUGACGCGUGUAAUUUUGAGUGUUUACACACAUUUUAUCAGGUAGAAUUGGAGUUUUUUUUUGUUCAAUUUUUGUAUAGUUAAAGGGUCUACUUCUGCACUGAUACAAUUAAAGAUCAUAGUUAUAAUAUAGUGUCAAGUUAAAGUUUCUGUUUAUUAAUCUACUCUAUGUCUAGCGAAACAUAAAUUUUGUUAGAAAUUGAAGUCAUGCUUGGACAUAAGCUGUGAAAUAAUAUAACUACAAACAACAUAAAUACUGACACCCAGUAACGGAGCCACAUUGAAUUCAGGGGUUCAUAAAAUUAUACUAAUUUUACAUGAUCAAAAAUAUUUUUAUGUAUAUAUAGUAGACGUGAACCUCCUUUGACUUGUGUAUGUAUUUACUUUUGAACCUCCUCAAUUAAAAUUCUGACUUCGUUACUGCCGACUCCUUGGAGCCUAGUCACGGAAAAUUCUGACAAUUUGCAUAAUUACUGAAAAAUUCAAUCUUGAGUCUGUCGAGAUACACAAUUAGCUUCUGAUACAUCCAAUGAAGAUACAUAGUUAGUUGAAGUAAUUAUUUCGUAAGAGUGAGAAUUUGUAUAAAUAUGAUAAAUUAAGAUGUAUAUUUAUGUUAUUUUUUCAUAUUAUAAUAACAACAAAAACAAAAACAACAUACCCACCAAUAAAGUUUGGGGAGGGGGUAGAGAGGUUGUUUUCCCGAGAACCUCGAUCAAAGUACAAUAAGUCAAAGUAAGAAAGAAGAAAACGGUGAGAAAAGCAUAACAGUUAUUAAGAAAAGCAGUGCAGAACCUACACGAAAGAAACAAUAACAUCAUCAAAAUAAUUUGGCAACUGAAACAUAAUAACAAACAUAUAACGGUAGAUAUCAAAAGUCAAAACUAUAAAAAAUUACAAGUUAUGAAAAAAUAUUAUGAUUUGAAAAUAUAAAUUUAUGCGCUGCAAAAACAGUCAUACCUAUUUGUUAUAAGGGACAACAUACAUGGCCAAAAGUGCAAAUGACCUCCUUAAAAACAGAUUAAAUAGCCCCAAUGAUGGGCCAACUUCUAAUUUGGAUUAGAUUUGGUAAGAUAACAGCCUAAUUGUAGUUUGAGCAUAAGAGCCCAUUUAGCCCAAUCACAGAGUAAUUAAUUAGAGAUAAUGUUUUACUCACCACUUUUUGAUUUAUUUUUGUAAAGAAAAAAAUCAUUAUCUUAAAAUUUUAUUUUUUAUUAGUAAAACUUCAUGACAUUAUGAGCAAGAAGGUAGUUAUUUGUUAAUUUUACUAGAUAAUUUGAUCUUAUAAGUGGAGUUUGUACAGAUCGGGUUCAUGCAAACCUCACUCCUACUUUUGUGAAAAAAAAAUAUAUAUAAAAAAACUCGCUUAUUUAACUUUAUGAAUACGUUAAAUUUGUCUUACCUCGUCGCUCUUUGGAACUAUGAAUGUUAAAGUUGGUCCAAGAAAAUAUAACUCGUCCAAUCUGUUCAUUGGAGGGAGUUGGAAUUGUGCGUAUCUUCAUAGUGAGUAACCUUUUCGCGCAUUAAUAACCCCUUUAUCUACUAAAUUAAUUCAUUUUAACUCGUUUAAAUUUAGAUGAACACGAAAAACGAGCCACUAAAUGACAAACACUCCAUUAUAAAAAUGGCAUUUUUAAAACUAGUGAAAUGUCAUCCAAAGGUGAAUUCCCCCAUUUGUUGGACUUAUUACCAAUUGGAUAGGGUACAAAGUGUAAGAAAUUGACAAUAAUUCAUUGCAAGAACCUACAAGACUGGUGUUUCAUUCUACUUAUUGUCAUCGAUGGAGUCAGGAUUUUUAUUAAGGAGGUUUAGAAGUAAAUAUGUAAACUAAUCGAAGGGAGUUCAAUAUCUAUAAUAUCUACAUAAAAAAUAAUUUUAAAUAUAUGUAAAUAGUAGAAUUUUUCAUCGAAAGAAGUUAGGAUGAACCCAUCGUCUAAGGGUAGCUCCGCCCCUGAUAUUGCAUUAGAGUCAUGGCACAUAUAGCUGUGUAGAACAGAGACAUCUAAGAGCAAUUCAUGUACAUCUUUAGUUUUUCUAUGAAAUUAAUAUUCAAGUGGUCCAAAAAUCAAUUCUAUAUUUUGUAUUUCCACAAAAAUUGUGUGUUAUUACUCCUUCCGUCUCAUAUUAUCUGUUGUUUUUCAUUUCUCGAUAUUCAAAUUACUAAAUUACUAAUCCAAUUUAACUUCAAAAUUAACCAAAUUGGCAUUUCAAAAAGAAAAUCGACACUUGUUUUGACAAAAAGUGAAUUCUUACAAAAGUAGAACCCAAAAGGAAUAACACUUAAUUAAUAAUUAUAUUCAAUUAUAAAAUUAUGAUUUAAAGUAAUUAGUACUUAAAAAAUGAGGAUUUAACUUUUAUAAUUUGACCUCCAUUAUUACAUUUAAAGCUAUUUUAUAAAAAGGGAAAAACAAUAAAAAAAUCAAAAAACACCUAUAUGAAAAUGACCAACAAAUUCCUCAAAAAGAAAAGGGACACAAAAAUGUCUUACUCUAUUACAAGUUGAGUAGUAAGCAAUAUAUAUAGGGAGAUGGGACAACAAUAUCCUAAUCUCUUAAGAUUUCUCGACAUGUCAUGUCAAUUGUUUGCUACCAUAAAUACUAGAGUUAAUACAUAAAAAUAAAAAUGAUCAUAAAUCUGAAACUAAAUUAUAAUUUUGACCUUAAACUUUGAUAGUGCACAAAUAUGACCUUUAACUAUUCAAAACUGCACAAAUAUGACCUCCCUCCAAGUCAGUCCUUUUAACGAUGUGGCACCGUGUGAUUGGAUUACCUUUCCACGUAGGCGCGAGUGAAACUCACGCAUGGGAUUGCAAAAUCGGAGAUCAUAUUUGUUCAGAUUUUGAAUACUUAAAAAUCCUAUUUGUGCACUAUUAAAGUUUAAGGUCAAAAUUAUAAUUUGGUAUCAAGUUUAUGAUCAUUUUUAUGUAUUAACUCUAAAUAUUAUUAUCAUGACGGAUUCAAAAUCUAAAUUUUAUAAAUUCGAAAAGACAUUAUAGUAAAUCAUUGAUCAUAUGAGUUAUCCAUCAAAAGUUUAGUAUUUAUAUGUAGUUAGUAGAUCUCUUAACAUAUAUACAUUAUCUUCUAAGAAAUCACAAAUUGAAAAAUCUUGUUUGUGGCGACAUUCUUGUGUAAACAUUUAAACUUUGUAGACUCUUCAAGAAAAAUUCAAAUUUUGUUAGAGUUCUAGGAGUCUACUUUACCCUAAAUUUCGCCUAUUUAAAGAGUAAUAUAUUUCCGAAACAGACAUCUUGAAUAUCUCAUAAACUGAUGGAUAUUUGUAAAAAGAUCAGGAUCUCCAAUAUUUCACAAAAUCAUGAGAUAUUCAUAAAGAGAUCAUCCUAUGUUCAAGAAAUAAGCCACUAACGGCCCUCGAAUUACGGAGAAAAUCAAGAGACAAGAAUGGGAGGGACAGAUUUGUACUCACGUCGUCUAUGUUUCUUCAUAUUUUUAUUUGUGUUUGAAGUUUAUUUUACAUGAAUUAAAUUAUGUUGGAAACAAAUUGGCACGCCCAGUGGAACCAAAUCUUCCCUUCAUCUCUUCUCUCAUAAAUCAAAUCUGCAAAUCUAUAGCCUAUAGCCGCCGCAUAAGCUCUAUUGGUACUUCAAGACUCGUCAUCAAACCUACACUUCGACAAGCCUUGAAGUAGGGGCAUUUGUAAACAUCUAAAAUUUGUAGGCUCUUCAAGAAAAAAUUCAAAUUCUGUUAGAGUUCUAUGAGGCUACUUUACCCUAAAUUCCGCCUAUUUAAAGGGUAACAUAUUCCUUAAAACAGACAUCUUGAAUAUCCCAUAAACUGACGGGUAUUCGUAAAAAGAUUGGGAUCUCCAAUAUCCUACAAAAUCAUGGGAUAUUCAUAAAUAAAUCAUCCUAUAUUAGAGAAAUACGCCACUAACGGCUCUCGAAUUAAGGAGAAAAUCAAGAGAGAAGAAUCAAGGUAGAAACAGAUUUGUACUCAUGUCGUUUAUGUUUCUUCAUUUUUUUAUUUAUGGUUGAAGUUUAUUUUACAUGAAUUAAAUUAUGUUGGAAACAAAUUGGCACGCCCAGUGAGAGCAAAUCUGUCAUUCAUCUUUUCUAUCAUAAAUCAGAUCUGCAAAUCUAUAGCCGCCGCAUAAAAAUGGAAGCUCAUUGAUCUUUCAAUACUCGUCAUCAAACCUAUACUUGGACAAGCCUUGAAAUAGGGGCAUUUGUAGACAUCUAAGAUUUGUGGGAUUCUUCAAGAAGAAUCAAAUUUGGUUAGAGUUCUAGGAGGCUACUUUAUCCUAAAUCCCAUCUAUUUAAAGGGUAACAUAUUCCCUAAAACAGACAUCUUGAAUAUCCCAUAAACUGAUGGGUAUUCGUAAAAAGAUCGAGAUCUCCAAUAUCCCAUAAAAUCAUGGGAGAUUCAUAAAGAGAUCAUCCUAUGUUCGAGAAAUACGCUACUAACGGUCCUCAAAUUACGGAGAAAAUCAAGAGAAAGAAUGAACAGAUUUGUAACCACCCCGUUUAUCAAUAAAAUUGUUGUUUCUUUAUAUUUUUAUUUAUGGUUGAAAUUUAUUUUAAAUGAAUUAAAUUAUGUUGGAAACAUCGUUCACUUUUACGGGCACACUUUUAUGUCAUCACAAAUAACAUUUAGCAAUGGAUUUUGAAUUAAAAUUAUUAGGUUCCAACAAACUCGUCACUUUAACUAUGCGUUCGCCCUUUUGUUGAUGCCUAAUUUAUUUUUUUCUAGUUUCUGUACUACUUCUCGCCGUCGAUUUCAUUUUAUGUGUCAGAACUCAAAAUAAGAAGGACAAUAUAUUCAAUUUUAUGUAAAUUGGACCAUGGAAUUAAUUAGAAGUUUUUUCUAUAUUACAAAAAUAAAAUUUAUGUUUUUUAUUAAAAUUCUACAAAAUGUAGUAAAGUUUACUGUAUUUGAUGAUUUAAAAUAUUUAAAGUUCUGCAGGUCGAAGACAUAUAUUUAAGACUGCAAAUAAAAGCUACUCAUAAUGUUUAUGGUCCCAAACAAUGAAAGAAUUAAUACUAGAAAGGGAAAAAUAUAUAUAUAUAUAUUCUUCUAUUGUUUGAUAAAUCAAUUUUCUCUCUUUUUGUCUUUGCAAAUAUAUAUAAUAGCUAGAGAUUGUAGUUGGUAUAAAUAUUUAUCCAAUUCCAUAAGGUGAAAAAAUUAAAGCAAGAACAUAUAUAUCUCUUAAUCAUUUCGUAAAAAAACGUAGUAUAUUUUUACCUUCAAUAUUCUAGUAUAAUCAUUAAGUAGUCUAUCAGUGCAUUUGAACAAUGUGCUUGGACUAUGUUAUCAGCUAUGCUGCUCGGACUAUGCUCAUUAAUUUUAUGUUGUUACAUAUAUUCUACUAGCUUAUCAGCUAUGUUGCUCGGACUCUCCAAAAUGCUGCACCACAUAAAUUCCAAUCAGUCAAUGUGCAUAUAACGAUAUUUCAACUUAUGAAUAUUUAAUUGUUUCUCCUUUUUCUCAUUUUACUAUAAUUAUCAUUGUGCAUGUUAUUAAAUACAUAAGUAAAAAAACAUAUCCUUUAGAAGCAAAACAUGAUUGAGAGCUACACAAGAAAAAUGACUUUAAGUUUCAAAUAUAGACAACCAAAUCUCCUUACAACAACAUUGUUAGUACACACAAUUUUUGAUUGCUAUAACAAGAUAUUAUAAAAAAUAUAUAAUAUAACCUAAUAUGAAAAUCUGUUGCAAAUAAAACUUGAUCGUUGUAGUAUAAUAAAACUCCACUUGUGAUCUGUAGAAUUAUAUUGAAUUUGUUGUUACUAAUUAGUGAUUAGUGAUGUAAGUGUCCAAGAAAAUCCACAUUAUUUUUUUGUAAAAAUUAUUUUAUAUCUCUCAUUUUCAGAGGCUGGACCACAUAAUUAAAUCUUUUUCUGGGAAAAUAUAAUUUUCAGAAAAAUCAUAAUCAAACAGCCUAACGACCAUAGCAAUGGCCCAUUAACCUCGUGCUCUUCACGUGGAGAUGGGCCCUUUUACACUCGCAGCCCAUUAAGGUCCAAUAUUUCUAGGGUAAUUUUGGGUAAUAAGAUCAUUUCCAACUUAUAAUCAUAUUUUAAAAUAAUAAUUAUUAGAAAAUAGUUUUCAUAUUAAAAGCUAGUAUCUCUGUACCUCCCCGAGAUAGUGAUAUUAUCUGUGUAUAGCCAUAUAUUCUAUCCUCCUAGACUUAACUUGUAAGAUUUCGCUGGAUAUACUGAUGUUGUUAUUGUAUCAAAACUUAGGAGUUCAAUUUUUGUAGUCACAAUUUAGUAUAGAUAGUUUUGACGUAUAUACUAUAUAAAGUUUUGAUGGAUAGCCUUGCUACUAGUCUCGAAUGUUAGAAUCAAGCGAUUAUUAUCAACGAGUCAAAAGUUAUGGCCGGUUACAAGACCGCAAUUUUUUUUAAUAAACUAAUCCAUCAAACAAACGUGAUAUUGGAUCAUGAUUCCGAUCGAAGCCACCCUAAACCCAUGAGUCUUACACUUGGCAUGACGCAAUUUUAUAAUCAUAGCUAUCGUAUCAUGUCACUAAUCAAUACUUGGUUCUUUAGUCAAUAUUGGAAUAGAAACCGAUGUAAUUGAAAAAAAAAAAGUUCACUUAUAACUUUCAGUUUUACAAUUACGGUAUAUUUGUCUUGCUUUGAUAGAGUUGAGUGCGAUCUGUUUGAUUAACUCCUUUUUAUUUUUUCAGAUAGCCAACAAUUACUCAUUGAUAAACGCUAACUGAAAGCGAACGAGAAUGAGCACCAUGCCAUACAAGAAUCAAACUUGUGUCGUUUUAUUUGCGAAAGUGUCUUUAAAGCAAAAUAAGAAUAGAGAAUGGAACACCUUUUUGCCUCAGUCACCCGAGUCAUAGCUCAAUCACACACACAUAAUUUUUGCAAUCGAUAUCGAUCUAUAUUAUCAUAUAUA